CUAUGCAAACCAACAGCAACUGGAACCAACAGCAUACUUGGGGAGCAUGGGACGCAUGAAUGGAAGUCCCCCUUCUUCUUUCUUCCCUAAUAAUGAAGAGUUAUUUCAUUCUCCACAAAGCGUCAAACUCAACCUGUCUCUCCCAUGAGGAGGUGAAAAUUAUGCACUGUCAGGAAAAUCAUACAGGUCUGUGGCCCAAGAAUAAAAGCAUCUCUUGAAGCUCCAGGAUCAACCACCUGGCUACAGUUUCCAGAGAAUCAGGGCCACACGACAAGAACCAGCACGUUCGUGUCUGACAAUGACGUUAGCGGCCUUUGGAGCAGCAGAAACAACCGCCCCAGCCAAGCAGUGCCGUCUGCCAGCCUCAGAGAUACAGGAAUUGCCGUGCUUCUGCAGACACCUGCCAACCAGGAUCCAUCCUCUUCUGCCUCUCCUCCAGACAGUAUGAAGCCUGUAGAGGUCUUCAAGAACUUGACUGUGAUUUUCUGAGCUGUGAAGAGAUGUGGAAGCAGAACGCCAACGGUUUGGACAGCUGGUGGAAGUGAGAGUAAGAGAGGAGAAAAGCAGUGUUACCCUGAGAAAGCCAGACAUGCAGAUGAAUAAAAAAAUUCUCAACCAACAAGAAAAUUUGCCUGUGAGUCCAAGCUCGUCUGCACAUCAGGGAUACACCAAUACCAGGACUUGAAAUCUGGCUUCACUUCAUCCAAAAGCCACUGGCUUUUGAAUAACUGCUUCCAGAGUCACUCCCCAAACACAGGUCCAGAAGUCAGCUCAGAACUUAAUUUAUCCUCUUCUGGCCUUAACCUAGGUCAGGUUAGAGAGACUGUAUGUGAUAGCACUUGCUAAUCCAUGCCAGAAGCUACAGAAGCAGGGAGCACCUUCAGGCCCAUCUACAUCCAGCACCUGGCUAGAGGCACACUCGGUCUAGAGCAGCCCUAUAACUAGUCACCUGUUCUACCCUUCUUUCUCCACAGCUUUGCAGCAGCUGUCAGAUUCACUAUUUGGGUGUAUGUAGAAAUGACAACUCCCCUUGCACAUGGUACCCCUCCACAUGUAAGAAUGGUGUGGGGAGGCUAUAGCAGGAGCCUCCUUAAGGAGAGGCAGAACUUAAUAAUAGGUCAUCUUGUGUGGACUGGCUGAGUUCAUUGCUCUCUUAUUCCUACCAUACAAGGAGUCAUCUGUGACAGAGAUAUGGGUUUUCCCAGAGAAGUGAAUUCUGGAUUAAACACUAUUGAGACACACAAGGCACUUCAUGCCCCACACAGAUCUUGUUUCUGGCUCUUUGCAGACUCAAGCAUAUUUCAACGGCUAAGGUUUAUGCCCUGAUCUGCAGCUUGCAGGAAAGGGAAGAUACUGCUUCUGAAUAACUGAAAGUUAGUGUUCCAAUUUACAAACAUCACUACCAGGACUGUAAUCUUGGGUAUGGCCAGCUAUAGAGUACUUCUGCUUUGAUCUCUCCUUGUACGUAGGCUCCAUCUCCGCAAGGAAUUCUUUCCAUAUUAAUUGCAUCUAGGGUCUGUUCAUUGUCUAGCAGUUUUCCAGUUCAGUUUGAGUAUAUUUUGGGUGAUAAUGGAUCCCCUGAAGUUUCCACCAUAAACACGGUGGCUAGUCAGCCCUAUGGGACUGGAACUUUGUUAAACGGUUCUCUAGAACCCAAAACUGAACCUAGAAUCUUUGGUUUGGACAGGAGCAUGGAUUUUAAAUCUUAGCUUAAAAGUAAUGCACUCUAGAGCUCAGUCCAAAUAUCCCCUCAUGAUCCUACCUGUCACAGUUGAGCUACAGUUUGGUUUAUCACUGAUCUGCCUCAGUGUGCUAAGUUUUUAUCUCCCCACUCAUGAGGUACAUGCUUCUCAUUCACUUAAUUUGUUUCUCUCAGGGAACGUUUAUUCAACAGUUGUCACCAAGUCCACGUGAAGUGAAGCAGGACUAUUUGGGGAAGAUGGUCAUAUUCUGCCUGGCCUCCUCUGGGGCUGCAGUGCUAUACUGCCAGCACUGUAUGGGACAACUGUAGCCUGACCUUGAUCCUGCUGCCUCUUCUUCUAUCUUCCUUGCACAGCCUGGUGUCUGACUAGCUGGAAAGGAAUAAGAUGUUGACAAUGUUGACAGUGGCUAGAGUUUUCUUUCCUUUUUCAGUCACUGGCGACUAACUGCAGCCCUCAGUAGCGAGCAGUUGCAAUCAGUGAGCUGAACUUCCAAGGGCUCUUCAGAUCCUUCUACAGUUCUCACUGCAAAAUACCUCCUGGAUGGAGUUACUUAACCUGGGUUAUAUAUACACACACAUUUCUGCUCCCUUGGAUUCACCACUCUAUGCUUUCUUUCAUAUCCUCCCUUCCUUCUCCCCUCCCUGCAUGUCUUGUUGUACCUUGUUUCUACAUGCCUAAAUCAUGCUUUAAAUAACAGCUGUCUCAUUCUUUGCUUCGUCUCAUACCCAGGUAAUUAUUUUCAAUUUAUUGAUUUUCCACAUGGAGAUUAAUGGGUUAUUCAGCUCUCAAAGCCUAUAUCUACACAGCUGUGAGUUAAAGUGUGGGCAUGGGAAGGUGGAGUUUAUGUGGCUGAUCACCUCUCCGAUGAACUUGUGUACCAAACUAAAGGGGUUUUUUUCCUUCCUACUCUCUAUAAAAAGCCAUCAAGUUUCAGACUCUUGCCAGUGAGUAAUCACAUUUCACAGGGAAUAAAAAAUAAUAAAUAAAAAC